AUGGAGGGCAACUUCAGCGCUGACCAGAGAGCCAAGGUGGUGGCCGUGCUCUACAUGGUGCCCGGCGACCUUAACGGCCAGUUCCACGCCAAGAAGAUGGGCUACCACGAGAUGGUCCUGCUCCGCCCCCAGGGCGCCGCUGAGGUGGUCGUGCUGGCUGCCGAAUUCGAUAAUACUCAUAUUUCAUCCCCUGCGUCAGCUCAUUGGCGGAGUUCUUCUCUACAGAGACAAUACAAAAUCGAGUCCAGUACAUCUCAGAUUGUUGUCUGGUUUAUUUUGGAUAAAUUGACAUCAUCCUGGUAUUUAUAUUCAAAGAAGGAUAAAUUAACCUUAUCCAGGUACACAUGA
rnacentral:rRNA from 1 species